AUCUCUGUAGAGUCUGCAUAUCAAUAAGCGGAGGAAAAGAAACUAACUAGGAUUCCCUUAGUAACGGCGAGUGAAGCGGGAAGAGCUCAAAUUUGAAAUCUUCAAGGUUUUACCUUGACGAAUUGUAGUUUAAAGAAGUGUUUUCUGUUGGAGUUUUGGUAAAAGUUCUUUGGAAUAGGACAUCAUAGAGGGUGAGAAUCCCGUAUUUGACCAUUAUUUCCAGCUUUGUGAUACACUUUCAAAGAGUCGGAUUGUUUGGGAAUGCAGUCCAAGAUGGGUGGUAAAUUUCAUCUAAAGCUAAAUAUUGGCGAGAGACCGAUAGCGAACAAGUACCGUGAGGGAAAGAUGAAAAGAACUUUGAAAAGAGAGUUAAACAGUACGUGAAAUUGUCAAAAGGGAAGCGUUUGACACCAGUGUUGUUUUUCUCGAAAAUCAAUUAAGAAUGGCAUGAUUUUGUGUUGUAUUGACUUUAUCAGCUUUCUUCACUCUUUUCUUGUCUUUUUUUAAUGCACUUUUCGUUUAACAAGUCAACAUCAAUUUCUUUUGUUGUAAAAGGGUCAUUGGAAGGUGGCUUUCUUUUCGGAGAAAGUGUUUAUAGCCUUUGGCCUCUGCAAUCGGAGAGAUUGAGGUCUGCAGCGUAGAUCCUUCUGGAUUAGAUACAUUUGUGCUAAGUUAUAACCGUUUCAUAGACAACUUGUUGACUAUGAUCGAUCAUGUAGCUUACUCGCUUAUGCUAUUUUACCUACGCUUAGGAUGUUGAAGAUGUAGCACAUCAU
rnacentral:rRNA from 1 species